GACGAACGCUGGCGGCGUGCUUAACACAUGCAAGUCGAACGGAAAGGCCCUGCUUGCAGGGUACUCGAGUGGCGAACGGGUGAGUAACACGUGGGUGAUCUGCCCUGCACUUCGGGAUAAGCUUGGGAAACUGGGUCUAAUACCGGAUAGGAACCAUCUUUAGUGUGGUGGUUGGAAAGUUUUUUCGGUGUAGGAUGAGCUCGCGGCCUAUCAGCUUGUUGGUGGGGUAAUGGCCUACCAAGGCGGCGACGGGUAGCCGGCCUGAGAGGGUGUACGGCCACAUUGGGACUGAGAUACGGCCCAGACUCCUACGGGAGGCAGCAGUGGGGAAUAUUGCACAAUGGGCGCAAGCCUGAUGCAGCGACGCCGCGUGGGGGAUGAAGACCUUCGGGUUGUAAACUCCUUUCGCUAGGGACGAAGCUUUGUUGUGACGGUACCUAGAUAAGAAGCACCGGCUAACUACGUG
rnacentral:rRNA from 1 species